rnacentral:hammerhead_ribozyme from 1 species
GCACUGCUGAUGAGUCCCACACAGGACGAAACAGCUGUCCAAUGC